GGAUAGUUCAUCCAGAAGGGAAUCUCAAAAGGUGAUUCACCUUUUCUAACCAACCUUCUAUUACCAAAUGGAGAUGCCAAUAAGGCUGAGAACAAUGGGGACACUGAAAUGAAGAACCGCCUGUAGAGCCAGGAGGUAGAGAAGGUACAUGCCUGCACUGACCUCAUCGACUCCCCAUAGACUCCAGGCAUAAAAAUGUGAACUUCCCCACUUUCACCGUCAAAGACCAGAUCUCAUGCAAGAGCCCCAUUCUGAAAGCUAUGGGGAGAGUGGCUCUUCCAGGAUGCAUGGUCUUGUCACACAAUGUCUGCUGGUGUUGGAACUGAAAAAACUUGUACACAGAUAUGAGCAGAGAAGCAAGGUCACUCACCAGGACUUUAAACAUGAGAUGUCAGAUGCUUUGGAAGUAGAAAGCAAGUCAAUAAAGCCCAGAAUGUCAUCACCAGGAAUUGGUAGGAGAUAGUCAUGAGCUGAUGAAUGUGCACAUCAGAUCCCCACACACCUAACAGGCCACCUUAAUACAACAACCUGAGUGGUUUAUGGGCAAUCAGCCUGCUGCUACAGAGGCAUUAACCACUUCUCAGGAGGUAGACCCUGACACAUGUAGCAUUAGUCACAUUGACAGACUCAUCUGGUAGACAAAGGUACUGAAGACAAUCUGCUUUUGCUGUGGUAUGAAAUUUUCUAUCACCUA
rnacentral:lncRNA from 1 species